AACGAACGCUGGCGGCAUGCCUAACACAUGCAAGUCGAACGAGACCUUCGGGUCUAGUGGCGCACGGGUGCGUAACGCGUGGGAACCUGCCCUUAGGUUCGGAAUAACUCCCCGAAAGGGGUGCUAAUACCGGAUAAUGUCUUCGGACCAAAGAUUUAUCGCCUUUGGGUGGGCCCGCGUUGGAUUAGCUAGUUGGUAGGGUAAAAGCCUACCAAGGCGACGAUCCAUAGCUGGUCUGAGAGGAUGGUCAGCCACACUGGGACUGAGACACGGCCCAGACUCCUACGGAAGGCAGCAGUGGGGAAUGUUGGACAAUGGGCGAAAGCCUGAUCCAGCAAUGCCGCGUGAGUGAUGAAGGCCUUAGGGUUGUAAAGCUCUUUUACCCGGGAUGAUAAUGACAGUACCGGGAGAAUAAGCACCGGCUAACUCCGU
rnacentral:rRNA from 1 species